UACGAGGGGUGCAAGCGUUGCUCGGAAUUAUUGGGCGUAAAGGGUUGGUAGGUGGUCUUAUUUGUCUAAGGUGAAAUCCCAUGGCUUAACUGUGGAAGUGCCUUAGAAACGGUAAGACUAGAGUCCUAGAGGGGUUUGUGGAAUUCCCGGUGUAGCGGUGAAAUGCGUAGAGAUCGGGAGGAACACCAGCGGCGAAGGCGGACAAACUGGAUAGGCACUGGACACU
rnacentral:rRNA from 1 species